rnacentral:rRNA from 1 species
UACAGAGGGUGCGAGCGUUAAUCGGAAUUACUGGGCGUAAAGCGUGCGUAGACGGCUAUCUAAGUCGGGUGUGAAAGCCCCGGGCUCAACCUGGGAAUUGCAUUCAAGACUGCAUGGCUAGGAUGCGGAAGAGGGAAGCGGAAUUUCCGGUGUAGCGGUGAAAUGCGUAGAUAUCGGAAGGAACACCAGUGGCGAAAGCGGCUUCCUGGUCCAGCAUCGACGUUCAGGCACGAAAGCGUGGGGAGCAAACAGG